ACCGGGAUUGCCCUAGUAACGGCGAGUGAAGCGGCAACAGCUCAAAUUUGAAAUCUGGCUCUUUUAGAGUCCGAGUUGUAAUUUGCAGAGGGCGCUUUGGCUUUGGCAGCGGUCCAAGUUCCUUGGAACAGGACGUCACAGAGGGUGAGAAUCCCGUACGUGGUCGCUGGCUAUUGCCGUGUAAAGCCCCUUCGACGAGUCGAGUUGUUUGGGAAUGCAGCUCUAAAUGGGAGGUACAUUUCUUCUAAAGCUAAAUAUUGGCCAGAGACCGAUAGCGCACAAGUAGAGUGAUCGAAAGAUGAAAAGCACUUUGGAAAGAGAGUCAAACAGCACGUGAAAUUGUUGAAAGGGAAGCGCUUGCAGCCAGACUUGCUUGCAGUUGCUCAUCCGGGCUUUUGCCCGGUGCACUCUUCUGCAGGCAGGCCAGCAUCAGUUUGGGCGGUAGGAUAAAGGUCUCUGUCACGUACCUCUCUUCGGGGAGGCCUUAUAGGGGAGACGACAUACUACCAGCCUGGACUGAGGUCCGCGCAUCUGCUAGGAUGCUGGCGUAAUGGCUGUAAGCGGCCCGUCUUGAAACACGGACCAAGGAGUCUAACAUCUAUGCGAGUGUUUGGGUGUCAAGCCCGAGCGCGUAAUGAAAGUGAACGGAGGUAGGAACCCGCAAGGGUGCACUAUCGACCGAUCCUGAUGUCUUCGGAAGGAUUUGAGUAAGAGCAUGGCUGUUGGGACCCGAAAGAUGGUGAACUAUGCUUGAAUAGGGUGAAGCCAGAGGAAACUCUGGUGGAGGCUCGCAGCGGUUCUGACGUGCAAAUCGAUCGUCAAAUUUGGGCAUAGGGGCGAAAGACUA
rnacentral:rRNA from 1 species